rnacentral:lncRNA from 1 species
AAUUUCAUUAUUCAAUUUUUUUAAAAUUUUAAUUUUAUAAUUUAAUCUUUUAAUUUAUUUGAUUUGAAUUAAAGUAUUAUUGAUUUAAGGCUUAGUUUGGUAUUGAGGUCUAUCUAAUACUAUUAGAUAAAAUAGAGUUGAGGAAAAAGCAUAUAGAGAUAUGCUUCUGCGUUCUCCAGUGAGACCGCAGAAAAUAUAUCGUAACCGACUCAUCGCGAUAUGCGGAACGCAAUAUUACGUACGGAAACAAACAGAAUAUUUUUCCAACGUACUUUCUUACCGUACGUAACGCAAUCUCCCCGCAAUACCAAACGAAGCCUAAGUCAGCAAUGAUACUUUGACUUCAAAGUUAAAGUUAAUUAUUUAUUUUAAUAAAUUUAUAUUUACGAGAAUUGUAUUAAGUAUAUUAAUUAAAUCUGUAAAAAUAAACGAUAUAUUUAAAUUUUAAAGUCAAAGUAUCAUUGAUUGAUUUAAAUUAUACAGAUUGAAAGAUUAGAUCUAUGCUUCAGAUAAGUUCCAUACAUUUUUACCCAAAAAAAAAAAAAACUACUCAAUUUGUAUUAAAAUUUAAUCCUUAAAAUUUAUAAUUUUUAAUAUAUAUAGAUAUUUCAAAAGUUGUAAAAACUAUUUUUCAUACUCUCACAACAUGCGGUUACAACCAAUUUGUUUGGAUAUUGACAAAACUUUGAAUACAUCGAAUUCUUUUAUUCAUGUAGUCUGCUUGUUUUACUGAAGGUAAAGUUUAAAUUGAAGUAAACUUUUGAAUGAAUUAGAGUUUGGUAAAAUUUUUUUUUUUUUGUUGUUUAUCUAUGUAGCGAGUAGCGACAGAAGUGAAGAUUUUAUAGUUCUACUCUAUUGUUUGUUUCGUAGAAAUAAAUAAUACGAGAGCGGAAGGUAUAAGCGAAAAGUUUGUUUCGAAAAUCAUUUCACUUCUUUUCAGUCUCGGCAAAAUAAACACAUCCGCAUUCAAAAUUAUUUUCGUGUA